ACAACAUAUGUUAUCGUUGAGACAUACACCGGAAGAACAACAAGUUCGAAGGCGGAUCUUUCCCUGGCAGGAAAGUGGACAGAGCUUCGACGGAGCGCGGAAAAGACUUUGUGAUGGGGAAUUGGAAACGGAUAAUGUUCAGGGCUAACAGGACCCCAUAUAUCUCCGACAUACAGCCCUUUAUGAUAAAGGAUGCGUUAUGGCCAGCUGACACGCAGGACUUUGAUGCAAUUCUACCGGCCCAAGUACACUGCUCAGAAUCAAGCCCACCCGAAAACUACUGUUGGGCCGGGAACUUGCUGCUUCACGAGCCGGCGCUCCAGGGACAAGACUGCCCGGAGACAGACCCAGCAGAAUCGGGAAAGCUAGAGGGAAAAAGUCACACACCCCCGGUUUCGGCGAUUCGUCACAACA